rnacentral:rRNA from 1 species
UACAGAGGUGGCAAGCGUUGUUCGGAAUUACUGGGCGUAAAGGGCGUGUAGGCGGUCUUCUAAGUCAGACGUGAAAUCCCUCGGCUUAACCGGGGAACUGCGUCUGAUACUGGAUGGCUCGAGUUUGGGAGAGGGAUGCGGAAUUCCAGGUGUAGCGGUGAAAUGCGUAGAUAUCUGGAGGAACACCGGUGGCGAAGGCGGCAUCCUGGACCAACACUGACGCUGAGGAGCGAAAGCCAGGGGAGCAAACGGG